ACCCUGCAAUAUAUAUGUUGAAGAGUUUUCGAGAUUUCCAUCUACAAAAAACCAUUCAACAUUUAAUAUCGACUGAGAUGCCUGAAUUCCUGACAUUUACCCAUAUACCUUACAUUGUCAUCACGUAGUAUGUACUGUAUACAUGAACUUGUGGUUAAAACUCGACAAGUGGAUCCUGUAGCUCAGUUGGUUAGAGCACUGCACCGGAAUCGCAGGGCCGCAGGUUCAAUUCCUGCUAGAGGGUCUAUAUAGUUGCAUUUUUUGCAGCUGCUCCUGGUUUGGAUGUAAGUUCGCAUUAAUGUGAACAUAGUAGCAUCACCCACCUUUCAUGUAAAUAUGCAUUCUUAAUUACAUGGCAG